rnacentral:rRNA from 1 species
GACGAACGCUGGCGGCGUGCUUCACACAUGCAAGUCGAACGAAGUGGCGAACGGGUGAGUAACGCGUAAUCAACCUGCCCUUCAGAGGGGGACAACAGUUGGAAACGACUGCUAAUACCGCAUACUGAAGGAGGGGAUUGCGUUGGAUUAGCUAGUUGGAGGGGUAACGGCCAACCAAGGCGAUGAUCAGUAGCCGGGCUGGGAGGAUGAACGGCCAAAUUGGGACUGAGACAAGGCCAAGACUCCUACGGGAGGCAGCAGUGGGGAAUCUUCCGAAAUGGACGAAAGUCUGACGGAGCAACGCCGCGUGAGUGAUGACGGCCUUAGGAUUGUAAAGCUCUGUUAGUCGGGACGCGGUACCGGAAUAGAAAGCCACGGCUAACUACGUGCCAGCAGCCGCGGUAAUUC